CAGCCGUAAACAAUGUGUGUUAGGUAUGUCGGUAACCACGUGUUACUGAUGUGCCGAAGAGAAAUCGUGAAACGCACCACCUGGGAAGUACGGUCGCAAGGCUGAAACUUAAAGGAAUUAGCGGGGGAGCACCACAACAGGUGGAGCCUGCGGUUUAAUUGGAUUCAACGCCGGACAUCUCACCGGAUAAGACAGCUGAAUGAUUGCCGGGCUGAAGACCCUGCAUGACUAGCUGAGAGGAGGUGCAUGGCGUAGACGUCU
rnacentral:rRNA from 1 species